CAAUUGAGAGGCGACGGCCGCCCCAUACAUGCGACAGAUACGCUUUCGUAAUUGUCGUCAGUGGUUCGAGUGUAGUGUAUCUUUGCUUCGCUCGUCGCGCGUUCUACAACAGCAGAAAGACAAGCCAGACAAGUGUGUGCACGGCAUAUUGGAUUACCAGCAAAAAGAUAAACGAAAAUAAAUUAUACAGAUUUCCGAAACUAUCCAAACAAAAUCUGAUUGAAUUGUGAUUGCUCCAAAUCGCGGCAGCGAUCGCUUGCCAAAAAAACGAACGCAAUGUCUUCCUAUCGCAGUUAUACACCCUGGAAGUCCAGCCUGGGCAGCUCUUACAAAACAGGAAGCUCUUCGUAUGGAGUAGGAACAGACUCCACUUCGCGUUACAGUUCUCUGGCCACGCCCAGUGCCUACAGGCCAUCGUUCUCGGGCGGCACAUACCGCCUCAAGCGAGAUCCGCCAACAAACGCACCACCGCCCGUCACCAGCUACGUCAGUCGCUAUGCCAAGACAGAGCCCAAGGAGACGACAGCCAGUGAGCGAAGCAGUCCCAUCAAGCGGUAUACAGGAGUGGGAGCGACUAGCAGCACACUGGGAAAGUACGGCAGAUCCAGAGAUCCCAGUCCCGUGGCACUGGAACACACGAACCGUGGCAAGUCGAGGGAUCCGAGUCCGGUCAUCGACAGCGGCAGGAGCAAAUUGGGUGGCAGCUAUCGCAGUGGCAAUGCCUCGACCUCCUCCUCGUCGUCGGCUGCCAGGAAUGGGUAUGGCAGUCGCUUUGGCGCCGCUCCAUCGAGGAUCAGCAAUGGGAGCAGCAAUGGCAGUGCCAUCUCCUACCUGACCACAAGCGAUUUUCAUGCGCGAACGGCCAGUCGAGCCAGAGCCAGCAGAGAGAAGGAGCAUGAGGUGCCCUCAAGUCCCCCAGAGAAACCAACUGAAGAGGCGGCAAAGAGCAAGCAGGCAAGCCCAGAGAAGGAGCAGGAACAGGAGAAGGUUGCACCAGACCCCCAGCCCGAGGAAAUCUUUGUCUCAGUGUCGGUGGUGACGCGUGCCACAUCGCCCACGCCACCGGGCAGCACCACCGUUCAGCGUACGCGUCGCAUUGACAUUGCCAAGACCAUCGAAAAGACCAUCCAGCGGUCCACGAAGCCCCGCCAGAUGCUGGAGAAGGAGAUCCAGUCGGAUAGGUUGGACGACUCCACGCGAUAUUUGCGGUACAGCGGUGGCAGCAGCAGCCUCAGCCCAACCUACAGCCCGCACAGGGAUCGGAUCAGCAGCCUUCGGUACAGUGCCAGUCCGCUGUCCAGCAAAUCCGCGUCCCCCUCUGUGGAGGGAAAGUCAUCGGCAUCGUCGGCAGAGGUGCCCAGUCCAGCGACCAAGAGUAAUGGCACCUUGAGUAAUGGAAGCUCCGCCAAAUCCUCUGCGUCUGCCAGCAAAUCAAAGCUCUCCCCGCCUAAGGCCAUACGUCUGAAUACCUCACGCCAGUCCUCCGUGGAGAAUCUGGCCAAUAAGCCACCGGCUGUGCCCACCAAAAGUGAAUCACCCACCAAGACCUGCUCCAGCUCCAGCUCGGGCAGCUCUGCCGUCAAGUGGCCCAACAAGGACUUCCGCAAGAGCUCCCUGAAUGUGGGACCCACGGACAGGCCGCGCAAAUCUCGCACUCCCAGUGGCGGGGAAUCCGAGGAUGUGUUGACCAAUGGAGGCUCUGGUUCUGGCCAACUGGAGCGCUCGCCAAGUGCCGGCUCUGAGGUGAGUGUGGCCUCUGCCAGUUCUGGAAAGAAGAGCUCCAAGCUGAGCAACGGCAAGGUGUCCUCCUCGGCGGGUAGUCGUCAGGGCACAUCCUCAUCCUCUGCGGCCACCUCCUCCACCUCCGCCUCGGACAGUGAGCAGCGUGGGGUCAAGACCGUUAAAAAACAGAGCAAAAAGAAGACGCCCAAAGAAGGCAAGGUCGUUGCCGGCAAUGCCGGCCAAUUGUUGGCCAACCAAAAUAGCCGCAAAUCGAAUACGCCAGCCGCCAACGCAACACCUGAGUCACCUUCACCAGAGAGGAACAAUGCCGAUCGCGAUCCAAGUGAGAGUCCGGUGGCACCGGCUGCACCACCGAACCGAUCGCCACAAACGCGACGCCUGCAGAAGCUCUCGUCGGUGUCGAAUUUUUUCGCGAAUCGUCAGCAAGACGCAAAUAGUGAACCGAUCUUCCUCGAAAGCUCAGAGAGCUCUGGGGAGCCGGAGGCCCCACCAUCUAUCAGUCUGGUCACAGAUCUUAACACGAACGAACCGCGAACGAAAUCGUCGAAAUCGACUAAAACGACGCCCACGAGCGAAGCGAAUACCUCAACGAGAUCCCCACUGAGUCCUCCCAGUUCAAGUACACGCUGUCCCGCCACCACAAGGAUCACUACCACUGCCACAACUUCAGCGACGAUCAGUAGCAGCAGCACGAACACCACCGCCACGCAGGACACCAGCCUGAGCACCACUUCGGAGCAGGACCCGAGCCAGGAGGAACCCAGCUGGUGGCAGGACACCAGUCUGCAGAUAAACACAGCCUCAGCUUUGGAUCAGAAUAAUCAGAACGGUGAGAUGCCCCCGUACAGGCUGCGACACAUUGAUUCUGGGGAGGAGCAGGCCUGGUGGCUGCGCCGCAGCGAGGCGGACGAUGAGGGAGAUGACGAUACGCUGGCAGAGGAGACACUUAAUCCCCUGGAUGAUGAUCCCAGUCACUGGAGCAGCCAGGAUCACGAACUGGAGACGCACUCCAAGGUCAAGCAGAUGCCAAGGAGCCGCAUCUCACCGGAUCAGGAUGCCUGGUGGCUGGAGGAGGAGCAGGAGGAGCCACCGUCCCAGACUCAGGCAAAAUUGGAAUCGCAGUCCCCUCAGACACGUUCCCUGCCACAGUCGCCGCCGCUGACCCGCUCCCUGCCACAAUCCCCACCGCAAUUGAAGUCCCUGCCACAAUCUCCUCUCCACUCGAAUGGCUACCACGAGGACGAGAACAACAACAACAAUGAGACGCAUGUGGAGGUGACCCUGAAACUACCGAGCGGCUCCAAGAGCAACUCAAAAAGCCACAGCGACGACGGCCCCAAGCCCUGGUGGAUGUCUGGACCCACCAAGAAGCUCUUCAAUGUGCAACGCGUGGAGUCCGGAGAGCGGGCCUGGUGGCAGGACAACAACGAGAAGGAAAAGGAGAAGGAGAAAGAGAUGGAGCCACCGCCAGUGAAGCCACCCACACCCCCGCCCCGCAUCAUCAAGCACUGGGAGUCGGGAGAGCGGGCCUGGUGGCUGCAGGAUGAGCCAGAGGCAGCGCAGUCAGCCGCAGUUGCAGUUGCGGUCGCUGCCAACGCCAGCAGCGAUGAAGAGGAGGAGGAAGAGGAGCAGCAGCAGCGCCUGGGCAGAGAUGAGACAGAUCUAAGGCAGCAACAGCAGCACCAAUUGGAGGUGCCACACGAGCUGAGCAGCUCCUUUCACUUUGCCUACACCGAACGCCCACCGCCGCUGGGGCAGUGCGCCAGUCCCGUUCCGACAGAGCAGCGACUGCGCUGCCCCUCGCCCUACGACAACAUUCCAAUGGGAAGAGCCCCAAUGCCGGCAGCGCAGCCAGCGACACCAUCGUCACUGCAGCCGCGCUUCUCCCCUCAAAUGAGGCGGCCAGGUGAGAAGCUUUUCAUCUCACGGCAUCAGAACAUCGAUGAGCUUUUGGGUGGCGCUUGCCGGCCGCUCAGUCCGCUCUUCUACAACAACAGCAGCAGCGAUGCGGCACAAGAGAGUGGCACAAAUAUGUUCCUUCUGGAUGAGAGCUCCUCUCUGGCCAGCAAAAAUAUGUUCCUCUUGGAGGAGAUCACGCCGGAUCAGGUGCGCAUCCACGAUAGCACCGCUCAAAGGCCGGUCAUACAGCGCAUGCAAAGAGAUGUGGAGUGGUUGGAGAAUGGCAGCAGCUUUUACGAGCCACCAAAGCAGCACCAUCAGCAGCUACAACAACAACAGCAAAGGAUCGAUGAUGCAGCCAUUCAGGUGUACAAGGAUGGGGACUAUGGUGCCUAUUUGGAUCUGGAAUCAUCGCUGGCCGAACAAACCGAGGAGAUCGAGGGCCUGAAUGCCAGCCGCAAGAACUCUCUGGUGGUGCGCACACAACUAAACGUACGCGUGCAUUCAAUUAUUGAAAAACUACUCUCAUCGGAGGGCAGCGACCUGCGACGUGCGCUGUUCUCAUUGAAGCAGGUGUUCCAGGAGGAUAAGGAUCUGGUGCAUGCCUUUGUGGCCCUUGGCGGUCUCAAUUGUCUGGUGCGCGUGGGCAAUUGUGCAGAUCAAAACUAUCAGAAUUAUAUACUGCGUGCCCUCGGACAGGUCAUGCUCUAUGUGGAUGGAAUGAACGGCGUGAUGAAGCAUGAGCCGACAAUGCAAUGGCUAUACUCAUUGAUUGCCUCCAAUUACCGAUCCGUGGUGAAGACGGCACUCAAGCUGUUGCUGGUGUUUGUGGAAUAUGCCGAGUCCAAUUGCUAUGUGCUGGUCAGUGCCAUACAUGCGGUGGAUGCCACACAGGGAACGCUGCCAUGGUCGAACAUAAUGAGACUGCUGAAAGAUUAUGACAAUGCGGAUGCCGAACUGGUGAUCUAUGCCACAUCGUUGAUCAACAAAACCCUUGCUGGACUCAACGAUCAGGAUACAUUCUACGAUGAGAGCGAUCUGCUGGAGCAGCAGGGCAUGGAGACAGUCAUUCAGCGUUACAUGUCCAAGCCAGGCACUGAUCUGGAUCUGCUCGACCAGCUGCAACUCUAUGAGGCUGUACUUAAAUUCGAAGAUGGUGAAUCGGAUGGCCAGCGGCUGCCGCAGAACUCUAUGCGCAAGACGCAGCGCUAUCGACCGGGCACAAACACCACAGAGCGGCGUAAGUCGCGACGCCACAGCACCGACAAUAGUCCAGUGCCCAUCACCAAGGUCCUGCCCACAACGUUGCUGCGUAUGACGCCCACGCAGGGCACCCUGGACGAGGAUAGUUCGGGUUCCACCAACUCCACGGAGUUCAGUGGCGGAUUGUUCAACGAGAAGAAGCCACGCGAUGGUGCGGGUGUCACGCCUGGUUUAAGGCGUCGUCGUGAGCGUGCGGAGCGCCACAAGAGCUUCCUCAAGGAGCAGCAGGAGGCAGCGGCCAAUGGAAUAUUUGCCGCCUUGGAGCAGCGCGAGGGUUUGGGCCAAAUUGUAACAGCCAUUCCUGCUACCGUACAAAGCGGCGACAGUCCGCCGCAGUCAUUGCAAAACGAGCUGCCGCAGCCAUGCAAUAACAAUAAUAUCAGCAGCAGCAACAACAAUGAAACGCCCAACAACAGCCUGCUGCUGAGUCCCAGCAAACAGCUGCUGAGCGGCAGCCAGAGCAUCUCGAUCAUCAACAACAGCUUCGACAAGUCCAACAACAAUAAUACCAACAACCAGAACGAGUUCCUUACGAAAAAGAAUCUGUUCCGCGAACGGAACGCCACUGUGAUCAAUGGAAUCAUGAAGAACAUUCAGCAGACGGAUACUGGCUACAAAAAGUACGAGAACGAUGCCAAUCGCCUGAAUAACUACUACACGCAGAUGAGUCAAUCGCCCAAGCAUCAGCAGCAGCAGCAGCAACAGGAUCCCGAGGAUGUUCUGCUGAGUCCGAAGAAGCCGCUGAAUGCUUCAGGCUUUGAUUUUACGCCCGUUCCGCUUAGCUCCACACCUGUCAAGGGCGACAUAAUGCCGGAAGCAGAGCCGCUGAGUCCCAUACGUAAACCCAUUGCAAUGGUGACGCCACCACCGCCUCCACCGCCGCCACCACCACCACCGCCACCCGGCUGGUGGAAUGCACCCAUUGGCAGCGUUGCAGCCAGAACCCUAACCAGUACUAACCCCGCUGUGGAUACCCCAACAGAGCUGGACAGCGAGGGAAAGCAGCAACUGCAGUUGCAGCUGCAGCUGAAGCGCGAUCAUACUGUCAAGGAUCUGACACAGAAGCUAAGCAAUCUGCCCACGAGUCCCACACAGGAGCCAGGCAGUCGGUCCGCCAUUGUCGGUGAUAUGUCCGGCCUCAUAUCGAAAGCCAAAGAGGGACUGGCCAAGAGUAAAAGCAAAGGAGAAAUAUCCAGAUCAUCGAGUGUGGAUCAGGAGCUGAAAAAGUCCGAGCCGAAGAAAUCGGAGAACGAACUUCACUGGGAGGAACUGGUGCGGAAUAUGACGCGACCUUUGAACCUCUGCGACCUGGACUUUACCGAUCUGCACGAUGACGAUGAGAAGGAUGUUUUGGCGCCUCGUGGCCUGGGUGCGGGAAUACCACCACCACCGCCGCCGUUUGGCAGUGGAGGCAUUCUGCCACCUCCAAUGAUGCCACCAGCACCCAGUUUAAUUCCUCCCCCCAUGUUUGGCUAUGGCGGCAGCCUCACCAACAGUGUGAAUAGCUCGCUGAAUGGAUCCGUCAACGGGGAGCUGGUCAAUGGGAAUAAUACGAUCAAAAAGAACAAAAAGACGGUUAAGCUCUUCUGGAAGGAAGUGCGCGAAGAUCUGAUACCCCAGGUGGUGGGUAAGACCAUUUGGGAUGAACUGCCCAAUGCCAAUGUGGAUACACAGAAGCUCGAGCAUCUCUUUGAGUCCAGAGCCAAAGACUUGAUGACCAAGAAACAACAAGAGCUAAAUAAGAGCAAAGAGAUCAUCGUGCUCGAUCACAAACGUUCCAAUGCCAUCAAUAUAGCAAUUACAAAGCUGCCGCCACCGCGUGCCAUCAAGGCGGCCAUCCUGAAGAUGGAUGCCACUGUGGUGACACGCGAGGGCAUUGACAAGCUGCUCAAUAUGCUGCCAACCGAUGAGGAGCGUGGCAAGAUCCAAGAGGCGCAGCUGGUUAACCCAGAGCUACCACUGGGCAGUGCCGAGCAGUUCCUCUUGACGCUGGCCUCCAUAUCAGAGCUGGGUGCACGACUGAAGCUGUGGGCCUUCCGCCUGGACUUUGACAACAGUGAGAAAGAAAUUGCCGAACCGCUGAUGGAUCUCAAGCAAGGCAUUGAGAUCUUGCGUCAGAAUCGCACCUUCCGCAGCAUUCUCUCAACGCUGCUGUCCGUGGGCAUAUUCCUGAAUGGUGCACCCGUCAAGGGUUUCCAGAUUGAGUAUCUGGCCAAGGUGCCCGAAGUGAAGGACACUGUGCACAAGCACUCGUUGCUGCAUCAUCUCUGUCACAUGGUUAUGGAGUCGAGCAGCGACACGAGCGAUCUGUACUCGGAAAUUGGUCCCAUUACGCGCGCAUCCAAGGCCGACUUUACCGAUCUGGCACACAAUCUUACGCAGCUGGAGUCCGAGUGCAAGGCCUCCUGGGAUCGUCUCAAAGUGAUAGCCAAACACGACUGCCCACCACCGCUGAAACAGAAGCUCGUGGACUUCCUGGCCGAUUGUGCGGAGCGGAUAAUCAUACUGCAGAUUGUCCAUCGGCGCGUGAUGAAUCGAUAUCGCAAGUUCCUGCUCUGGCUGGGCAUGCCCCAGCACAGUGUGGCCGAGUCGCGGCCAAAUGAGUUCUGUCGCACCCUGUCCGAGUUUGCUUUGGAGUAUCGCACGACCAGGGAGCGGGUGCAGCAGCAGCUGGAGAAAAAGGCCAAUCAUCGUGAGCGCAAUAAGACGCGUGGCAAGCUGAUCAUCGAUAUGGCCAAGUUCAAGACCAAAGAGGAUGUGGCCGAUGCAGAGUUAAAAACCCUUCUGGGCACACCAAGUGCAGAUCAGGCGGAUGGCACUCUCACCUGGAGACGUCGUCGGGCCGAGCAAUUGCGCUCACCCAUUGCACGCCAGAGCGAGGAGCAGUUCACCGAUGGCGAUGAUGAGAUACUCGAAUCUCUGGUUAAGACCGCCACCAAGGCGCCGGGAACACGCACCACACCCAGGGAGCGUAAGAGGACGCGUAAUGCGGAUCGCAAAUCAUUGAAGCGCAGCCGCACGCGCGAAGGAUUCACAGUUGAAAGAGCACCAUCGCCAUAGAUACCGAAAUACCGUAUUAAGCCGUAACCGUUACCGUUAGUGUUAACCGUAGCUGUAACCGUAACCCGUUACCGUUACCGAAAGAGAACAGCCAACUGUUUUUUUAGGUCUUACCUUUUUUGUGCGUCGCACGCUUAAGAACGGUCUGACCGAUGAGGAGAAACAGCAUGUGGCUGCCUUGAUACAAACCUAUUAGGAUCUAGAGCACCGGAUACCCCCGGAAACUCCCCCCACUCCACUUCCCCACUUCCCCCAGUGAUGUCACAAAUCGGACUAUGCGCGCAACAGACUGAAAUUGGCGAUCUCGGACGAGCAGAGCAGCAAACGAAAACCCCCAGAAAAUCACUCCCUUUUAUACGACACAGCAUCACAGCAUCGUCAUCAGCAUCACCAGACAAAAAAUAACGAAACUGUCCUUAAAAGAAAGCGUUUUUCAUAGUGUUUUAUCCUGUUAUUAUUAUUUAAAAUUUUGUUUUUGCUUCGGCCAAGUAUUAUUAAUUAAACGUAAUUAAAACUUAAAAAAAAGAUCUGUAUUAGUAGAUGGAAACGAUUUUAAUGUUAGAUAUUUUUUCAAAUUGCAAAACAACAUUUCGACAUGUCCCUCGACUUUUAAUUUAUACCAAAAUGCCACAAUGUUCUUGUGGGCUACUUAAAUUAACUUAAAUUAGGAGAAAACUUAUGACUACCUUAACUACGAAUCAAAUCAAUAAAUAAAUAUAUUUAUUAUA